GUUUAUGCUAUAAACACUCUAUAUGUUGGGGAGGUUGUAGGAGUGGCCCUACCUGCCUCUGAAGGUGCGCACAGAAGUUACAUUUUCACAUGAUGAGGCCCCAGAAAGUUCUCUGUAGCCACAACACAAAGUGUUCACAGCUGCAGAGCACUUUUAAAAUGGCCAAAUCACAUGAAAAUGUAACCCUCAUCUGCUGUAGUAUCAGGCAGGGGUGCUACAGGGCAGAGCACCUUAGGGAACCUCUGUACAGGUUCCCUGCGAGGGUUAAUUUUGGGCGAUGCCACCCACAUCCUAUGCAGUUUUGUGGGACUGGGCUAGUCCGCAUGAGGGCAAACACAGACCCAGCCCCACCCCCACCCCCAGGCUGUCAAAGAGGAGACAGAAAACCUGUUUCCUCCCUGUGCAGCCAGAUAAAGUGAAAAGAAGGGAGCCCCACUGCUGCAUGAGCCUCCCACCAACUACCCCUGCUGGGGUCCUGGGGGGAACUGGGCUGGGCCCACAUGGCAGGGGGUCUCCCUUUCCCCAACUCCCUACUUCCCACACAAGCAUUUUGACAGCAGCAGAGACUGCCUCACCCAGAGCUGGGGGGAAAACAAACUUCGUGGCCCAUCUUAGCACCCCCCAAGACUCCAGCAUAGACAGCUAGGGAAGCACACAAGGUGAAGGGGGAGGGGGCUCCAUUUCCCCCCGCCGCAGUUCUGGGUGCAACAGCCUCUGCUACUGUCAAGAUAUUCACGUGGAGGGUGGGGAGAAGGAAGGGAGCCCCCCCUGCCAUGUGGGCCUGGCUCAGCUGCUCCCCAGAGCCUAGUAGGGACAGUUGUGGGGGGAAGGGAAGAGAAGGCAUGCAGUGGGGGGCUCCAUCUCCCCCCUCCCUCUAGCUGCUGCUGACAGUUGCAGCUGGCUGGGGUUGGGGCUGGGGAAAGGGGUGGUCUGGCAGCCUCCUGGGAACAUGGCUAAAGCACCUCCCCAACAGGCUGCCUAGACUUCUGUACAGACCCUGAGACAUACUGCCAUUACAUGGAGCAGAAGAGAGGAGAAUUAUGUUGGAGGAGGUCUGUGGCUUUUCAGGGAACAGCAAAUAUGUCAAUAGCUGAGGAAAGCUGAGUUCAAUCACGUCUUCAUAUCUUCAACAGUUCGAGGGGGUUAAUAGCACUUUGCAGAAAAUUUGUUGACAAACAAAGGUUUGUUUGUUUGUUUGUUUUUACAAAGGCUCUUUCACUCUGCAAUAUACCUGACACACAUUUAGUGCUCCAUGGAUAACCCGUAUAAUCCUAGGGCAAUUAACCCAUCAGAAAUCCAUCAUCUUGGACAACAGCAAGUUGCAGUCAGAAUGAAGGAUGAUGGAGACCAGCCAGGAAAGGGAAGAUGGGAGCAAAUUACUAUUUUAACACAGGGUUUGAUGCUGGAAGGGAAUGAGCACCAGCAACUUCUACUGACAUCUACGAGUGCGAAGGGUGCCCAGCGCUUUACAAGAUCAGAUCCUUAAUGUUUGCAUUAACACUUAGUAGUAAAAAAAUGAAAGAGAAACAAAUAUACUUUGCCCCUGAAACACACCAAAUUCCAACUACUUCCCAAGUUUUUCAUGAGGCAUUAGUAGCUCUUGAAUGAUGCAUCACACCCACCCCACAGACAAAAGCUUUAUCAUAGGCCCCCAUCCAUGAUAUGUGAUUGUAUUCAACAGCCACUGUGCCCUAAAUGUGUACCCUGAAUUGUUUUCUCAUAAUUUAUUUAAUUUAUAACUCAGAGCAACAUGACAAUGGAAUCACUUAAUGUGAAUUUCAGAAGUUGCUGUCAAGAUUUUUUCUGUAUUGUGGCAACUAUGCAUUUUGUUGAUUCAUAUGAAAUAAAACGAAAUAGGUAGCAAA